GAUGAACGCUGGCGGCGUGCCUAAUACAUGCGAGUCGAGCGAACGGACGAGAAGCUUGCUCCUCUGAUGUUAGCGGCGGACGGGUGAGUAACACGUGGAUAACCUACCUAUAAGACUGGGAUAACUUCGGGAAACCGGAGCUAAUACCGGAUAAUAUUUUGAACCGCAUGGUUCAAAAGUGAAAGACGGUCUUGCUGUCACUUAUAGAUGGAUCCGCGCCGCAUUAGCUAGUUGGUAAGGUAACGGCUUACCAAGGCAACGAUGCAUAGCCGACCUGAGAGGGUGAUCGGCCACACUGGAACUGAGACACGGUCCAGACUCCUACGGGAGGCAGCAGUAGGGAAUCUUCCGCAAUGGGCGAAAGCCUGACGGAGCAACGCCGCGUGAGUGAUGAAGGUCUUCGGAUCGUAAAACUCUGUUAUUAGGGAAGAACAUAUGUGUAAGUAACUGUGCACGUCUUGACGGUACCUAAUCAGAAAGCCACGGCUAACUACGUG
rnacentral:rRNA from 1 species